UCGCUGCCCGGAACUGAGCCGUUUCGAGAAAGCCGGGGACUGACGACUUGUGGGUGCGCAAGCACUUCUUGUCGAUGGAAACCAGUUUGAUCGGUAUGGCUUGAACCGGGCAA
rnacentral:rRNA from 1 species